rnacentral:rRNA from 1 species
GGGACACGUGGUAUCCUGUCUGAAUAUGGGGGGACCAUCCUCCAAGGCUAAAUACUCCUGACUGACCGAUAGUGAACCAGUACCGUGAGGGAAAGGCGAAAAGAACCCCGGCGAGGGGAGUGAAAAAGAACCUGAAACCGUGUACGUACAAGCAGUGGGAGCACCUUCGGGUGUGACUGCGUACCUUUUGUAUAAUGGGUCAGCGACUUAUAUUCUGUAGCAAGGUUAACCGUAUAGGGGAGCCGAAGGGAAACCGAGUCUUAACUGGGCGUUAAGUUGCAGGGUAUAGACCCGAAACCCGGUGAUCUAGCCAUGGGCAGGUUGAAGGUUGGGUAACACUAACUGGAGGACCGAACCGACUAAUGUUGAAAAAUUAGCGGAUGACCUGUGGCUGGGGGUGAAAGGCCAAUCAAACCGGGAGAUAGCUGGUUCUCCCCGAAAGCUAUUUAGGUAGCGCCUCGUGAACUCAUCUUCGGGGGUAGAGCACUGUUUCGGCUAGGGGGCCAUCCCGGCUUACCAACCCGAUGCAAACUACGAAUACCGAAGAAUGUUAUCACGGGAGACACACGGCGGGUGCUAACGUCCGUCGUGAAGAGGGAAACAACCCAGACCGCCAGCUAAGGUCCCAAAGUCAUGGUUAAGUGGGAAACGAUGUGGGAAGGCACAGACAGCCAGGAUGUUGGCUUAGAAGCAGCCAUCAUUUAAAGAAAGCGUAAUAGCUCACUGGUCGAGUCGGCCUGCGCGGAAGAUGUAACGGGGCUAAACCAUGCACCGAAGCUGCGGCAGCGACGCUUAUGCGUUGUUGGGUAGGGGAGCGUUCUGUAAGCCGUUGAAGGUGUGCUGUGAGGCAUGCUGGAGGUAUCA